rnacentral:lncRNA from 1 species
CUCAGAUGCGGCUGUCUUUGGAGAGAUCUUCGCUGGGCCCUGAUCCAGUGUGGCUGUGCCUUGGAAGGAGAACUUUGACGGACACUCCCAGGAGGACCAUGUGAAGACGGAGGAGGCAGCCUCCACAAGCCCAGGAGAGGCUCAAACUUGGACUCAGAUGUAGUUUGAGACACAGGUGCUGUGGGUGAAGCCCCUUGGUCUGGGGUGCUUCCCCCUCCAGGGAGGGUGCCUCUGCUCUGCACUCCAGAUCGUUCUGGGCUGGAGCAUCCUUUGAAGAUCGUGGAUUCCAAUGCCAGGGUCGAGUGGCGCCCAGCUCCCCAGCUCUGGCUGGCGCAUUCUGGCCUGAGUCCUACUCUUGCAUCUCUUGGGGGUGCUCAGACAGAGGCUCAACAGAGUCACCACGGUGACCACCCUACUGUGCCCUCAUUGCCUGCUCUCCUUUCCCUGCUGUGAAAGCGACCCUCUCACCUGGAAGGAAAGGGCCACGGUUGGCCUAUUUGGUUCCCAGGUUUUUCUGAUGGGAUAAAUGGCCGACUUCCCAGCCUGGGAGGAGGGGCCUUCCCAAUCUCCCCACCUGACUCCUCAGCCAGGGACCAGCAUGGCCGUCGGUGACAGCCCACGCUAGUCCUCCCUGCUCAGCCUUGGCCUCCUUCUGUGCCCAAGAAAGACAGCAGGGUGUGGGGAGCAGAGAAACCCAGCCCUAUUUCCUCCUGUGCCUCAAAACUGAAACCCCAUUCAUCCUCUGGCCUCCAACUGGAGGUCGGCCUUGUGUUCCUUUCUUUGGCUUCUGGCCCGUGACUUGACAAAAAAGAACCUGGCGUCCUGUGGGCCAAAUCCAGAGGUUUCUUUGCUUUCUUU